AUCACAUCACGUGAUACACCAGUACCUCACGGGAUACACCAUCACCUCACGUGAUACACCAUCACAUCACGUGAUAAACAAGCACCUAACGUGAUACACCAUCACCUCAUGUGAUACACCAUCACCUCAUGUGAUACACCAUCACCUCACGUUAUACACCAGCACCUCACGUGAUACACCAUCACCUCACGUGAUACACCAUCACAUCACGUGAUACACCAGUACCUCACGGGAUACACCAGCACCUCACGUGAUACACAAGCACCUCACGUGAUAGACCAUCACCUAACGUGAUGCAUCAGUACCUCACGUGAUACAUCAGUACCUCACGUGAUACACCGGCACCUCACGUGAUACACCAUCACCUCACGUGAUACACCAGCACGUCACGUGAUAAACUCGAACCUCAAAUACUAUGCUGAGAUGAGAAAAAAAUAAGCACAGAAUCGAAGCACUUGUAAAUUCACGUACCCUAAAACUUUAUGGUCGUGGCUCCUCCUCCUCCUCCCCCAGGCGUGCAGAAGCCAGGCAAUCUCCUUGUCUGUGCUAUCUUUGCCUGUCUGUGUUGUGCAUGGCCUUGCGGAGCAGCCGCCAUCCAUACAAAUCAGCAGGUCGACAAGUGCUGGAAUGAAGGCCGGUACGAGGAAGCGUUGGACAACGCAAGGAAAACCAAAAUACUUAUCGCAGUCUCAAUCAUUACAGGCAUAAUAUCAAUUGUAAUUAUUGUAGCUUAUUAUGCGCAUCUUGUGAGCAGUUAUAAUUAUUUAUAAUAAUUAAUAUAAAUAAUAAUAAUUAAAUAAUAAUAAUAAUAAUGAUGAUGAUGAUGAUGAUGGUGAAUCUUUAAAAUAAAAGACUUAAAUUUGUCAAUGCUUGAAAUAUUUUGCUUUACUAGUCAUGAUAUCAUUGUCAUUGUAACCCUGUGCUUGUGCGCAUGCGCGUCUAAGCAUUCACUCAUUGCAAAAUGUAAAAUUAUUUUGUUAUUCAUGAACAAACCUAGCCUGCGAUGC